GCUCAGGAUGAACGCUAGCGGCGCGCUUAACGCAUGCAAGUCGAGCGAUGAGGCUCCCUUCGGGGAGUACAUCAGCGGCAGACGGGUGAGUAACACGUAGAUAACCUGCCCUCAAGACGGGGACAACCGGUGGAAACAGCGGCUAAUACCCGAUAUGCUCACAGGAUCGGGAGAUCGAGUGAGGAAAGCGCCCCUUCGGGGGAGAGUGUUUGAGGAGGGAUCUGCGGCCCAUCAGCUAGUUGGUGAGGUAACGGCUCACCAAGGCGAAGACGGGUAGGGGGUGUGAGAGCAUGGCCCCCCACAAUGGGACUGAGACACGGCCCAUACUCCUACGGGAGGCAGCAGCGGGGAAUAUUGCGCAAUGGACGGAAGUCAGACGCAGCGACGCCGCGUGGGUGAGGAAGGCCUUCGGGUUGUAAAGCCCUUUUCAGGGGAGCGAGAAAGGACGGUACCCUUGGAAUAAGCGUCGGCUAACUACGUGCCAGCAGCCGCGGUAAGACGUAGGACGCAAGCGUUAUCCGGAUUUACUGGGCGUAAAGCGCCUGUAGGCGGUCAAGUAAGUCGGAUGUGAAAGCCCCGUGCUCAACGCGGGGAAGCCAUUCGAUACUGCGUGACUAGAGAACGGCAGAGGGAAACGGAAUUUCUGGUGUAGCGGUAAAAUGCGCAGAGAUCAGAAAGAACACCGAUGGCGAAGGCAGUUUCCUAGGCCGCAUCUGACGCUGAGAGGCGAAAGCUAGGGGAGCAAACAGGAUUAGAGACCCUGGUAGUCCUAGCUGUAAACGAUGGAUGCUAGGUGUGGGCCGGAAAGGUCCGUGCCGUAGUUAACGCGAUAAGCAUCCCGCCUGGGGAGUACGGCCGCAAGGCUAAAACUCAAACGAAUUGACGGGGACCCGCACAAGCAGCGGAGCGUGUGGUUUAAUUCGAUGCUACACGCAGAACCUUACCUGGGCUUGACAUGUAGGUGGUAGUGAAGUGAAAGCGGAGCGACCAUUCGGGGAGCCUACACAGGUGCUGCAUGGCUGUCGUCAGCUCGUGCCGUGAGGUGUCGGGUUAAGUCCCGUAACGAGCGCAAC
rnacentral:rRNA from 1 species